GUGUUCUGGCACAAAAUUUGUAAACCGAAGGUCGCGGGUUCGAUCCCUGCCGGGGGCACCA
rnacentral:tRNA from 1 species